AAGCGCUUGUGACCAGACUUGAGCGCGGCGGUUCCCCCAGCCUUUUGGCUGGGCUACUCCGUCGUGUCCAGGCCAACAUCGGUUCUGAGGGUCGGUCAAAGGCUCUGGGAAUGUAUCUACCUACGGGUAGACUUAUAG
rnacentral:rRNA from 1 species